rnacentral:rRNA from 1 species
UACGGGGAGGGCGAGCGUUAUUCAGCGUUAUUGGGCGUAAAGGGCAUCUAGGCGGUCUACUAAGUUCUUGACGAAAUUUUACAGCUCAACUGUAAAUUGAUCUUGCAAUACUGGUAGACUUGAGUAUAGCAGAGGGCAGCGAUACUUUUAAUGUAAAGGUAAAAUUUUUAGAUAUUAAAAGGGUCAUCAACUGGCGAAGGCGGCUGUCCAGGUUAUAACUGACGCUGACGUGCAAAAGCGUGGGUAGCAAACGGG